rnacentral:miRNA from 1 species
UUAGCUUAAGGAGUACCAGAUC